GCGUUUGUAGUCCAACGGUUAGGAUAAUUGUCUUCCAAGCAAUAAACCCGAGUUCGACUGUCGAGAAAUGCA
rnacentral:tRNA from 1 species